AUUGAACGCUGGCGGCAUGCCUUACACAUGCAAGUCGAACGGCAGCACGGGAGCAAUCCUGGCGGCGAGUGGCGAACGGGUGAGUAAUAUAUCGGAACGUGCCCAGUAAUGGGGGAUAGCCCGGCGAAAGCCGGAUUAAUACCGCAUACGACCUACGGGUGAAAGCAGGGGAUCGCAGGACCUUGCGUUAUUGGAGCGGCCGAUAUCAGAUUAGCUAGUUGGUGGGGUAAAAGCCUACCAAGGCGACGAUCUGUAGCUGGUCUGAGAGGACGACCAGCCACACUGGGACUGAGACACGGCCCAGACUCCUAUGGGAGGCAGCAGUGGGGAAUUUUGGACAAUGGGCGCAAGCCUGAUCCAGCCAUGCCGCGUGUGGGAAGAAGGCCUUCGGGUUGUAAACCACUUUUGUCAGGGAAGAAACGCUCUGGGCUAAUACCCUGGGGUAAUGACGGUACCUGAAGAAUAAGCACCGGCUAACUACGUGCCAGCCGCCGCAGUAAUAC
rnacentral:rRNA from 1 species